rnacentral:rRNA from 1 species
GAAUUGCAGACACAUUGAGCACAAAAAUUUCGAACGCAAAUUGCGCCAUCGGGUUUAUUCCCCUUGGCACGUCUGGCUGAGGGUCGGU